GUACCCAUGGUGUAGUGGUUAUCACAUCCGCUUCACACGCGGAAGGGCCCCAGGUUCGAGACCUGGUGGGUACA